rnacentral:rRNA from 1 species
GAUGAACGCUGGCGGCGUGCCUAAUACAUGCAAGUCGAGCGAACAGACGAGGAGCUUGCUCCUCUGACGUUAGCGGCGGACGGGUGAGUAACACGUGGAUAACCUACCUAUAAGACUGGGAUAACUUCGGGAAACCGGAGCUAAUACCGGAUCAUAUAUUGAACCGCAUGGUUCAAUAGUGAAAGACGGUUUUGCUGUCACUUAUAGAUGGAUCCGCGCCGCAUUAGCUAGUUGGUAAGGUAACGGCUUACCAAGGCAACGAUGCGUAGCCGACCUGAGAGGGUGAUCGGCCACACUGGAACUGAGACACGGUCCAGACUCCUACGGGAAGCAGCAGUAGGGAAUCUUCCGCAAUGGGCGAAAGCCUGACGGAGCAACGCCGCGUGAGUGAUGAAGGUCUUCGGAUCGUAAAACUCUGUUAUUAGGGAAGAACAAAUGUGUAAGUAACUAUGCACGUCUUGACGGUACCUAAUCAGAAAGCCACGGCUAACUACGUG